rnacentral:pre_miRNA from 1 species
UAUUACAGCAAAUUCGAUUGUGUUCUCUUAAUCAUCACCCACACUUAUACGAUUAAGAGAAGACAAACGAAAAAAUUGUAAUAA